UAGGGAAUCUUCGGCAAUGGACGAAAGUCUGACCGAGCAACGCCGCGUGAGUGAAGAAGGUUUUCGGAUCGUAAAACUCUGUUGUUAGAGAAGAACAAGGGUGAGAGUAACUGUUCACCCCUUGACGGUAUCUAACCAGAAAGCCACGGCUAACUACGUGCCAU
rnacentral:rRNA from 1 species